AGAGUUUGAUUAUGGCUCAGGACGAACGCUGGCGGCGUGCCUAACACAUGCAAGUCGAGCGGGGACAUACGACGGAGUCAAAGUUUCGGAUGGAGACGAAGAUGUAUGUUCUAGCGGCGGACGGGUGAGUAACGCGUGAGCAACCUGUCCCUUACAGGGGGAUAACACAGCGAAAGUUGUACUAAUACCGCAUGAGACCACGGGAGGACAUCCUCCAGGGGUCAAAGGAGCAAUCCGGUAAGGGGUGGGCUCGCGUCCGAUUAGAUAGUUGGUGAGGUAACGGCCCACCAAGUCGACGAUCGGUAGCCGACCUGAGAGGGUGAUCGGCCACAUUGGGACUGAGACACGGCCCAAACUCCUACGGGAGGCAGCAGUGGGGAAUAUUGGGCAAUGGGGGGAAACCCUGACCCAGCAACGCCGCGUGAGGGAAGAAGGUUUUCGGAUCGUAAACCUCUGUCCUUGGUGAAGAGGAAGAGACGGUAGCCAAGGAGGAAGCCCCGGCUAACUACGUGCCAGCAGCCGC
rnacentral:rRNA from 1 species